GUGGGGAAUAUUGGACAAUGGGCGAAAGCCUGAUCCAGCAAUGCCGCGUGAGUGAUGAAGGCCCUAGGGUUGUAAAGCUCUUUUACCCGGGAUGAUAAUGACAGUACCGGGAGAAUAAGCUCCGGCUAACUUCGUGCCAGCAGCCGCGGUAAUACGAGGGGAGCUAGCGUUGUUCGGAAUUACUGGGCGUAAAGCGCGCGUAGGCGGUUUUUUAAGUCAGAGGUGAAAGCCCGGGGCUCAACCCCGGAAUAGCCUUUGAAACUGGAAAACUAGAAUCUUGGAGAGGUCAGUGGAAUUCCGAGUGUAGAGGUGAAAUUCGUAGAUAUUCGGAAGAACACCAGUGGCGAAGGCGACUGACUGGACAAGUAUUGACGCUGAGGUGCGAAAGCGUGGGGAGCAAACAGGAUUAGAUACCCGAGUAGUCC
rnacentral:rRNA from 1 species